rnacentral:rRNA from 1 species
AUACAGAGGGUGCGAGCGUUAAUCGGAAUUACUGGGCGUAAAGCGCGCGUAGGCGGCUUAUUAAGUCAGAUGUGAAAUCCCCGGGCUCAACCUGGGAACUGCAUCUGAUACUGGUAAGCUCGAGUUUGGGAGAGGGAAGUAGAAUUUCAGGUGUAGCGGUGAAAUGCAUAGAGAUCUGAAGGAAUACCAGUGGCGAAGGCGACUUACUGGCCAAAAACUGACGCUGAGGUGCGAAAGCGUGGGUAGCGAACAGGAUUAGAAACCCCGGUAGUCC